AACGCGAAGAACCUUACCAGCCUUUGACAUGCCUCGGACGGUUACCAGAGAUGGUUUCUUCUCUUCGGAGCCGAGGACACAGGUGCUGCAUGGCUGUCGUCAGCUCGUGUCGUGAGAUGUUGGGUUAAGUCCCGCAACGAGCGCAACCCACGCCCUUAGUUGCCAUCAUUAAGUUGGGCACUCUAGGGGGACUGCCGGUGAUAAGCCGAGAGGAAGGUGUGGAUGACGUCAAGUCCUCAUGGCCCUUACGGGCUGGGCUACACACGUGCUACAAUGGCGGUGACAAUGGGACGCGAAAGGGUGACCUUUAGCAAAUCUCAAAAAGCCGUCUCAGUUCGGAUUGUACUCUGCAACUCGAGUACAUGAAGGUGGAAUCGCUAGUAAUCGUAGAUCAGAACGCUACGGUGAAUACGUUCCCGGGCCUUGUACACACCGUAGUAC
rnacentral:rRNA from 1 species